rnacentral:rRNA from 1 species
GACGAACGCUGGCGGCGUGCCUAAUACAUGCGAGUAGAACGCUGACUACUUUAGCUUGCUAGAGUAGAAGGAGUUGCGAACGGGUGAGUAACGCGUAGGUAACCUGCCUACUAGCGGGGGAUAACUAUUGGAAACGAUAGCUAAUACCGCAUAACAGUGUUUAACACAUGUUAGAUGCUUGAAAGAUGCAAUUGCAUCAAUAGUAGAUGGAGCUGGGUUGUAUUAGCUAGUUGGUGGGGUAACGGCCCACCAAGGCGACGAUACAUAGCCGACCUGAGAGGGUGAUCGGCCACACUGGGACUGAGACACGGCCCAGACUCCUACGGGAGGCAGCAGUAGGGAAUCUUCGGCAAUGGGGGCAACCCUGACCGAGCAACGCCGCGUGAGUGAAGAAGGUUUUCGGAUCGUAAAGCUCUGUUGUAAGAGAAGAACGUGUGUGAGAGUGGAAAGUUCACACAGUGACGGUAACUUACCAGAAAGGGACGGCUAACUACGUGCCAGCAGCCGCCGUAA